UCAUAUAUAUAUAUAUUAAUUAAUUUAAUUUUAUUAUUUAUUUAUUAUAGACAAGGCAACUGGAUCGUGCAUCAAGACAACUACAGAUAUGGAAGGCCACGCACCAAUCUAAGAGGACUGAUGAUUACUUGGAUCUUGACAGAUCAUGGUAAUAACUUAAAAUAUUAUUUAUUAAAUUUUUAUAUAUACUGAUAUGUAUAAACUAAUAAAUUUUUAAACUGUAUAGGUAGAUUAUGCGGAGUAUCUCGUAUUAUGGCACGGUGA
rnacentral:lncRNA from 1 species